rnacentral:tRNA from 1 species
AUCUCGGUGCGGUGCUUGGCGAGGCCGUCGUAAUUGCAGGUGAUGGUGCCGGCGCCGAUGUUGGCGCCGGCGCCGAUGGUGGCGUCGCCGAGAUA